rnacentral:sRNA from 1 species
UUUUAGCCCUGAUAGGAGCGGCAUCCUUUUUUGUUUUUUUAAGCAAAAAAGAUAUAGCGGAUAGCAGGAACAGCU